UUUUAAAAAAUUUCCAGGAUAAUUAAUGUACAGUGUUCAAUUUCUCUCAGGUGUGCAAUGUAGUGAUUCGGCAAUUCUGUACCUUACUCAGACCUUACUCAGCGCUCAUCGCGCUAAGUGCACUUUUAAUCGCCAUCACUUAUUUCCUUCAUCCCCUCACCCACCUCCCUCUUAUCCAUCAGUUUUUUCUCUAGAGUUAAGAGUCUGUUUUUUAUCUCUUUUUUUUUCUUUGUUUCUUAAAUUCCACAUAUAAGUGAAAUCAUAUGGUAUUUGUCUUUGUCUUAUUUCACUUAGCAUUAUACUCUCUUGCUCCACAUAGCAAACGGCCAGAUUUCAUUCUUUUUUAUGGGUGAGUAGUAGUCUGUUCUGUGUGUGUACCCCCAUUUUUUAUCCAUUUCAUCUGUGGAUGGACACUUGGGCUGCUCCGUAAUUGGGCUAUUGCAAAUAAUGCUGCAGUAAACAUACAGGUGCCUGUAUCUUUUCAAGUUAGCGUUUUCAUAUUCUUUGGGUAAAUAUCCAGUGGUGGGAUUACUGGAUCCUAGGGUAAGUUCUAUUUUUAAUUUUUUGAAGAACCUCCAUACUGUUAACCACGGUGGCUGUGCCAUUCCCAUCAACAGUGCAUGAGGGUCCCUUUUUCUCCACAUCCUCAACAACACUUAGGUUUGUGUUGUUGAUUUCAGCCCUUCUGACAAGUGUGAGGUGAUAACUCGUUGUGGUUGUGAUUUGCAUUUUCCCGAUGAUGAGUGAUGUUGAGCAUCUUUUUUUUUCUCCUGUAGAAUAAGUUGGACCUUUUCUACAGAAGAAAAAUAAUGAUACAUGCUAUUUUCAAGCUUUCGUUUUUUUCUCUUGAUAAUAAUAAUGAUACUACUAAUAGUUACUGAUCAUUUACUAUGUGCCAAGCACUAUGCAAAAACACAUGAUAGGUAUUAUCUAAUUUAAUCUGCAUAGUGACCCUAACAUUUCCAUAUUAUCCUUACUUUAUAGAUGAAGGAUUUAAGAGGUUAAAUCUUUUGCACAAGGUUAUAGAGCAAGCAACAAAUAUGCCCAAUAUAUUACGGGCAACCUUCCCUGCCAGUACACAUAGUUGUAUACUGGAUUAUUUUUAACAUUAUUUUGUAUGGAUGUCCCCUAUUGCAAACCAGUGGAUUCUUUUUAGUUUUUUGCCUUUAUAGUAGUGCUGUAGUAACCAGCCUAGUCUCCUGUGAAUAUGGCUGGAGGGUAAAUUUCUAGGAAGGGAAUCAUGACAUCAAGCGAUCUUAAAUUUUGAUAAAUUCUGUCAAAACAUUUUUGAAAGGACUGUACCAUUUUAUAUUUCCAAUAACAACAAAUGCAAAGGCCUGGCUCACCAUUGCCAAUCUGGAGCUGAAUAUUGCCUCUGUUUUGUUUUGAAGAUUGAGAAAUUUUCCUACAAACAUGAGGUUUCAAAACCAUAAAUAAUCAAACCUGAUUUGAAUAAACAUGAACAUUUGGAGUUUUUUUUUCCCCUCUCAUUGUACAUUCUAUAAAAUAUUUGGGAAGAUAAGUACAAUAUAUGAAGUUCCAAAAUUGAAUGAAAGUUGUAUUUCCUAUCAAUAAAUAUAAUACAAA